rnacentral:misc_RNA from 1 species
UCUCCGUUGGUGAACCAGCGGAGGGAUCAUUACCGAGUUUACAACUCCCAAACCCCUGUGAACAUACCAUUUGUUGCCUCGGCGGUGCCUGCUUCGGCAGCCCGCCAGAGGACCCAAACCCUUGAUUUUAUACAGUAUCUUCUGAGUAAAUGAUUAAAUAAAUCAAAACUUUCAACAACGGAUCUUUUGGUUCUG